AAUGGCUGCAGUAAUAUAACUGUACAAAGGUAGCAUAAUCAUUAGUUUUUUAAUUAAAAGCUUGUAUGAAAGGUUGGACGAGGUAAAAUCUGUCUCUUUUUAAUAUAAUUAGAAUUUAAUUUUUAAGUAAAAAAGCUUAAAUUUAUAUAAAAGACGAGAAGACCCUAUAGAGUUUAAUAAUUUAUUUUAAAUAAUUAAUUUAGAUUUAUUUAUUUUAUUUAUUAUAUAAUUAUUUUAUUGGGGUAAUAAAAAGAUAAAUAUAAUUCUUUUUUUUUAUUUUACAUUAAUAUAUGAAUUAAUGAUCCAUUUUUAUGAUUAAAAGAUUAAAUUACCUUAGGGAUAACAGCGUAAUUUUUUUAAAGAGUUCAUAUCGAUAAAAAAGUUUGCGACCUCGAUGUUGGAUUAAAGAUUAGUUUAGGUGUAGAAGUUUAAAUUUUUGGUCUGUUCGACCAUUAAAUCUUUACAUGAUCUGAGUUCAAACCGGUGUAAGCCAGGUUGGUUUCUAUCUUUAUAAAAUUUUUAUAUUUUAGUACGAAAGGACCAAAUAUUUAAUAUAUUAAUAUUUAAUAUUUUGAAUAU
rnacentral:rRNA from 1 species